AUUCUUCAUUACCAAAGACCUAACCUUCAUUUUCUAUGAAACCCGGAUUGCAGGUAACAAACAGAUCUCUAAUCUUCUUGUCUCUUUUCUCAGCUUUACGGAUUUUUUAUUUCAUAUCUGAUCGGGAGAGCGUGAAGCUCCUGCUGCUUGAGAACAGGCAAGUACUUGAUUUUUGAAAGAACAGUAUGAUGUAGAGCUUCUGGUAGGCAAAUGGAAGAUUCUUGUAUAUGUAAUGAAAUGGCUAAUAAACAUGUCAUGUUCUCUCCAUAUUAAAGCUAGGAAAACAAUUACAUACUGACAUCUAAAGCUCUUCUAUAUUCAUUAUUCAGUUCUAGCUUAUUUCUUUUACUUAUUUCCUUUUUCCCACUUUAUUUCUGCUUGCUCAAGUGAACUUGAUUUAUUUAGCAUCGCUGUUUAUUAACCUGAGCUAUGUGCGUUAGUAGUGUAUACAUGGUUACCUCGUGUUUUUUAUUGAAUAAUACAAUUUCUUUAGCCACAAUUGUUUUAUGUCCUCACCUCACUGCAUUUUGGUGUGGUCUUAUUAGAACCUCCUCCAGUUCUAAAAACUGAUGUUAUGCACCAAUUUCUGAUUGCGUAGUUGUCGAGCGAUGAUAGGAUAGACGAUUUAAUUUCGGACCAAAUUUGUCUACAAACAUACUAUUUCUGAGCAACAGCCCAUUCAAUCAGCUAAGUAUAGCAAUGACUAUAAUAACUGAUUAUAGUUGUUUGUUAUAAUUAUAACCCUUACAUGUUGUAAUCUUUAAUAGAUAUCCUCUCAAACUUUGUAGCCUCCAGCCCUCCAACAAUAGUAUUUAGUGCAGUAGAAUCCAUACCGUGCAUUUUUUUUUGCAAUUUGCACUGCUUUUUUUCUAUAUUCAUUAUUCAACUCUAACUUAUUUCUAUUACUUAUUUCCUUUCUCCCACUUUAUUUCUGCUUGCUCAAGUAGACUUGAUUUAUUUAGCCUCACUGUUUAUUAACUUGAGCUAUGUGCGUUAGUAGUGUAUACAUGGUUACCUCGUGUUUUCUUUUGAUUGAAUAAUGCAAUUGCAUUAGCCACAAUUGUUCUAUGUCCUGACCUCACUGCAUUUUGGUGUGGUCUUGUUAGAACCUCCUUCAGUUCUAAAAACUGAUGUUAUGCACCAGUUUCUGAUUGCGUAGUUGUUGAGCGAUGAUAGGACAUACGAUUUAAUUUCGGACCACAUUUGUCUACAAACAUACUAUUUCUGAGCAGCAACCCAUUCAAUCAGCUAAGUAUAACAGUGAAUAUAAUAACUAAUUAUAGUUGUUUGUUAUAAUUAUAACCCUUACAUGUUGUAAUCUUUAAUAGAUAUCCUCUCAAACUUUGUAGCCUCCAGCCCUCCAACAAUAGUAUUUAGUGCAGUAGAAUCCAUAUCUUGCAUUUUUUGCAAUUUGCACUGCUUUCCCCCUCUAUAUGCAGUUCUUUAUGUGAAACGUUCUUAUCUAUGUGAUAUUCGAUGGGUUCUACGGAUCUCCGAAUUUCGAUUAUUGAUUUUACCCAUCGUAUCUGUACACGUGCACAUGUUCCUAACUUGAUCUACAUUAUUAAAAAUUAUGCAUCAUUUGAUUUGGCCACAACAAUUUUCUCUACGCUCCACAUUUUAUUAUGACUUAUAAUGGGAUUAUAAUAUAUAACUAAUGGAUUGGCUAGCAAACAUGUCAUGUAUUUUUACAUAAAAUCUAUUUAUCAAUAACUUUUUUAAACUAUUUGUUCUCUACUUGAAGGAUAUUUUGGGGACUGAAGCGACACAUUAAAGAGUUAUAGGUCCAUUUAAAAACAAGUCAGUUUCUAUGGUUUUCUCUUUACCUAAAGCUCAAAGAGAGACAACAGACUGCUUUAUACGAAAAGGGGUACAGAUGUACUGGAUGGGGAUGGAAGGUAAAUAGUUUUAGCAGAAAAAGACUUUUAUGUUGGCUGAUUGCUACUGGUUUUAUGAGUCUAAAAGAUAUUGUGCAGUGUCCAAAUGCAGAGAAUAAUUAGGUAUUCAAGGAUGGAUGGCUUACCUGAGAUGACAUUUAUAGUUGCAUCAAGUCGUUGUCAAUUUCAGACUUCAAGGCUUAGACUUGGUUGUUCUUGAAGAACUCUCUUUAUUCGAGAGAGAUGGUCAACAUAGAUAUUCUGAAAACAGUGAGGUUUCA
rnacentral:lncRNA from 1 species